rnacentral:rRNA from 1 species
AGUGAACGCUGGCGGUAGGCCUAACACAUGCAAGUCGAACGGCCGCACAAUAAGCGCUCUCUCUUACGGGUGGCGAGUGGCGGGCGGGUGAGGAAUACAUAAGAUUCUACUUUUUCUGGGGGGAUUACGGAGGAAAACUUACACUAAUACCUCAUAUGUCCUACGGGUUAGAGCAGGGGAUCUUCGGACCUUUCGCGAUUGUAUGAGAUGAUGUCGGAUUAGCUAGUUGACGAGGUAAAGGCACACCAAGGCAACGAUCCGUAGCAGGUCUGAGAGGAUGAUCAGCCACACUGGAACUGAGACACGGUCCAGACUCCUACGGGAGGCAGCAGUGGGGAAUAUUGGACAAUGGGCGCAAGCCUGACCGAGCAAUGCCGCGUGGGUGAAGAAGGCCUUCGGGUUGUAAAGCCCUUUUGUUGGGGAAGAAAAUCAGCAGGUUUAACCCCGGCUGUUCUGACGGUACCCAAAGAAUAAGCACCGGCUAACUUCGUG